CACAAUUGGGGCUCCAGAAAUGGGCCCUUCCCUCGAAUAAACAAUAUAAGCUUUUGACUUCUACCCCCAUCUUUUCUUCUACUUCUAGCCUCAUCAAUAGUCAAGGCCGGAGCCAGAACA